AGAGCUCCCAGGUAUCAUGGCUGCCAGCCGAAGUCACCUUAAGCCGUGCUGCUCUCCCUGCUGCUGCGCUGAGGAGUGGGAGCCCCUGCGGGGGCCGUGCCCGAGGCUGUGGCCUGAGGCUGGCUCCAGGCCACCUUCCUGCCAAGCCCUGGGACAGGAGGGGCAGCUGCGGCUUCCCCUCGAGCUAUAAAAAGCCCGGCCCAGCGAGCGGAGGGCAGAGCGAGGGACAGGACGCACAGGACCCGGAGCUCAGAGCUCGGCCCAGCAGCAUGAGGUUGGGCCCCGCCAUCAGGCUGCUGCACGCCCCCCUGAGGGCCUGUGUGGUCCCCAAGGCGCACAUCUCCGCCAAGCCGGCCAAAACACCCACUUCUGCCCCCGAGCAGGCCGUGGCGCUCGUGGUGACCUUCCUCAGCUUCAUGGUCCCCGCCGGCUGGGUGCUGUCCCACCUGGACAGCUACAAGAGCCGCUCCGCCGAGUGAGGCUCUGCCCAGCCAGGCCGGGCGGCGGCCGCCGCCGUGGACACGGGAGGGAGCGCUCAUUAAACCCUCCCCCACCGAA